GGCCUACGGGACGCAGCAGUGAGGAAUAUUGGUCAAUGGGCGGGAGCCUGAACCAGCCAAGCCGCGUGAGGGAAGAAGGUACAGCGUAUCGUAAACCUCUUUUGUCAGGGAACAAAGGCGGGGACUAGUCCCCGGAUGAGGGUACCUGAAGAAAAAGCAUCGGCUAACUACGUGCCAGCAGCCGCGGUAAUACGUAGGGGGCAAGCGUUAUCCGGAUUUACUGGGUGUAAAGGGAGCGUAGACGGCAGUGCAAGUCCGGAGUGAAAGCCCGGGGCUCAACCCUGGGACUGCUCUGGAAACUGUAA
rnacentral:rRNA from 1 species